rnacentral:rRNA from 1 species
GAUGAACGCUGGCGGCGUGCCUAAUACAUGCAAGUCGAGCGAACAGACGAGGCGCUUGCUCCUCUGACGUUAGCGGCGGACGGGUGAGUCACACGUGGAUAACCUACCUAUAAGACUGGGAUAACUUCGGGAAACCGGAGCUAAUACCGGAUAAUAUGACGAAUCGCAUGGUUCAACAGUGAAAGACGGUCUUGCCGUCACUUAUAGAUGGAUCCGCGCCGCAUUAGCUAGUUGGUAAGGUAACGGCUUACCAAGGCAACGAUGCGUAGCCGACCUGAGAGGAUGAUCGGCCACACUGGAACUGAGACACGGUCCAGACUCCUACGGGAGGCAGCAGUAGGGAAUCUUGCGCAAUGGGCGAAAGCCUGACGGAGCAACGCCGCGUGAGUGAAGAAGGUCUUCGGAUCGUAAAACUCUGUUAUUAGGGAAGAACAAAUGUGUAAGUAACUAUGCACGUCUUGACGGUACCUAAUCAGAAAGCCACGGCUAACUACGUG